AUAAAUGGAAAUAUGAUUUCACAAAAAUAUAACAAUGAUAAUACUAACAAAUAUUAUAAAUCGAAAUAUGUACAACAAAAUAGUGUAUAUAAUAAUACUUAUCAUAAUAAUAUUAAUAGUAACAAUAAUAAUAGUAACAAUAUUAAUAAUAAUAAAAUGAACAGUUCAUACUAUAAAAAAAAUAAUAACAUUACAAGUGAGGAAAAGAAAAAUAAUAUAACUUAUGUUCCACCUGAUUAUAUAUGUCAUAUGUGUGGUAAAAAAGGACAUAGUAUAAAAAAUUGUACUAUGAGCACAUUUAAUAAUAACAAAAAAAUAAAAGUACCUACUGGUAUACCUGUAAAUUUUUUAACAAAAAUAAAACCAGAAGAUAUUAAUAAAUAUGAUCAAAUAUAUAUAUUAAAAGAUGGAAGUUAUGGUGUUUUAAAGGAUAUAGAAAAUGUAAGUGGUAGUGCAUAUUUAUACAGAAGUGUAGAAGAUAAAAUUAAUAUUUAUUUAGGUGUAAAUAAAGAUAAUAAUAAUUACAGUAGUAAUAAUAAUUACAAUAAUAAUAAUAGUCAAAAUAAUAGUCAGAAUAAUGGAAACCAAAAUUAUGAAUAUUUUAAUAAUAAUAAUAAUAAUAUAAAUAAUUACAGUGAUGAUAACAAUACUGAUAGUAGUGAUAAUAGUGAUAGUAGUAAUUAUAGUCGGUACAAUAAUAAUAACAGUUAUGAAGAUACUGAAUGUACUGAUAUAUCAAGUAUUUAUAAAUGUUUAUUAUGUAAAAAAUUAUAUUCUUCACCUAUGACUUUACAUUGUUGUGGUGAAACUUAUUGUAAAGUAUGUUUAUUCAAAUUUAAUAAAAAAAAAAAAAGUGAUGAUUCAUUUAUGUAUAAUACUAAUAAAAAUUUUGUUGAUAAAAAAACACAAAUGAUGAAAUGUCCAAAUUGUUCCAAGUAUGUUAAUUUAAAUGAUUUAAUUAUUAAUACCAAUAUAAAAAAUGUAAUAGAUACAAUUAUAAAAAAUCAAAAAAAUAAUAAUUCAAUUCAAGAACCAGUUGCACAGCCAUUAUUUAAUGGUACAUUUUCACCAUCGGUUGUUAAUAAUAAUGAACAAAUUGAUAAUAAUAAUAAUAAUAGUAAUAAUAAUAAUAGUGGGAAUAAUAAUAAUAGUGGUAAUACUAACGGUGCUAACAUAAAUGAUAAUAAUAGUAAUGACAAUAUUUAUAAUGGAAAUAGUAACAACAGUAGUAAUACUGCCACUAGUACUAGCAAUGCCACUAAUUUUAAUGACACAAUUAAUAAUCCUACCAGUUAUAAUAACAAAAUUAAUCCAUCAAAUAAUAAUAUGAUGGUAAAUGGUAAUACAAAUUUAAUGUCUUCAAAUAAAACCAUAAAUAAUGAACAUAAAAUAAAUACAAAAGAUAAAACAGAUUAUAAUUUUUGGGGAAGUAAUAAUGAUAAUAAUAAUUUUAUACAUAAUCGUGAUAAUAACUAUAGUAAUAGUAUUUUUAGUAUUAACGAACAGCCAGGUUCAACUACCGUUAACAAUGGUAACACAUCAAACAAUAAUACAAAAAGUGACCUACUAGACGAUACUGAUUUUAACCCUUUUAUAAAAUAUUCCCUAAAUUUAGAAGAAAUAAAAAGACAACAUGAUUUCGCUACCUCAUAUAUAGCUCAAUAUAGAAUAAAAAAGAAUAAUAAAAAGAAAAGAAAAAAAAACAUAAAUUUGGAUAUAGUUUUAACAGCUAAAAGGGUAUGUUAGCACUUAUGUGAAGUAAGUGCAUAUGAUUAAAAAAAAGAAUAAUAAAUAAACCAAACAGAUAAACCA
ensembl:lncRNA